rnacentral:rRNA from 1 species
UACGGAGGGUGCAAGCGUUAUCCGGAUUCACUGGGUUUAAAGGGUGCGUAGGCGGGCAGGUAAGUCAGUGGUGAAAUCUCCGGGCUUAACCCGGAACUGCCGUUGAUACUAUCUGUCUUGAAUAUCGUGGAGGUAAGCGGAAUAUGUCAUGUAGCGGUGAAAUGCUUAGAUAUGACAUAGAACACCCAUUGCGAAGGCAGCUUACUACACAGUUAUUGACGCUGAGGCACGAAAGCGUGGGGAUCAAACAGG